rnacentral:rRNA from 1 species
UACAGAGGUGCCGAGCGUUAGGCGGAAUCACUGGGCUUAAAGCGUGUGUAGGCGGGCGGGCAAGUACCUUGUGAAAUCCCACGGCUCAACCGUGGAACGGCUGGGUAUACUGCCUGUCUUGAGCCAACUAGGGGCGAGCGGAACAGACGGUGGAGCGGUGAAAUGCGUAGAGAUCGGAAAGAACACCAACGGCGAAAGCACUCUGCUGGGCCGACACUGACACUGAGAGACGAAAGCUAGGGGAGCGAAUGGG